GACAGAGGGUGCAAACGUUGUUCGGAAUUACUGGGCGUAAAGCGCGUGUAGGCGGCUAAGUAAGUCGGGGCGUGAAAUCCCACGGCUCAACCGUGGAAGUGCACUCGAAACUGCGUAGCUAGAGUCCUGGGAGAGGAAGGUGGAAUGCUUGGUGUAGAGGUGAAAUUCGUAGAUAUCAAGCGGAACACCGGUGGCGAAGG
rnacentral:rRNA from 1 species